UACGAAGGGGGCUAGCGUUGCUCGGAAUCACUGGGCGUAAAGCGCACGUAGGCGGAUCUUUAAGUCAGGGGUGAAAUCCUGGAGCUCAACUCCAGAACUGCCUUUGAUACUGGGGAUCUCGAGUCCGGAAGAGGUGAGUGGAACUCCGAGUGUAGAGGUGAAAUUCGUAGAUAUUCGGAAGAACACCAGUGGCGACGGCGGCUCACUGGUCCGGUACUGACGCUGAGGUGCGAAAGCGUGGGGAGCAAACAGG
rnacentral:rRNA from 1 species